UGAGAAUGUAUGUGAGUUGGACUUGA
rnacentral:piRNA from 1 species